AUUGAACGCUGGCGGCAGGCCUAACACAUGCAAGUCGAGCGCGCGGCGGACGGGUGAGUAAUGUAUGGGGACUCCCCGAUAGGGGGGGAUAACUACUGGAGACGGUAGCUCAUACACCACACUCUCGGAUAAUCCAUAUGGGAUUAGCUAGUAGGUGGGGUAAUGGCUCACCUAGGCGACGAUCCCUAGCUGGUCUGAGAGGAUGAUCAGCCACACUGGGACUGAGACACGGUCCAGACUCCUACGGAGGCAGCAGUGGGGAAUAUUGCACAAUGGGCGCAAGCCUGAUGCAGCCAUGCCGCGUGUAUGAAGAAGGCCUUAGGGUUGUAAAGUACUUUCAGUCGGGAGGCGUUACCGGCAGAAGAAGCACCGGCUAACUCCGUGCCAGCAGCCGCGGUAAUUC
rnacentral:rRNA from 1 species